rnacentral:rRNA from 1 species
UACAGAGGUCUCAAGCGUUGUUCGGAUUCAUUGGGCGUAAAGGGUGUGUAGGUGGCGCGCUAAGUCGGGUGUGAAAUUUCGGAGCUUAACUCCGAAACUGCAUUCGAUACUGGCGUGCUUGAGGACUGGAGAGGAGACUGGAAUUCAUGGUGUAGCAGUGAAAUGCGUAGAGAUCAUGAGGAAGACCAGUGGCGAAGGCGGAUCUCUGGACAGUUCCUGACGCUGAGGCGCGAAGGCCAGGGGAGCAAACGGG